rnacentral:lncRNA from 1 species
GUUUUCAUGGAUUAUGUAAGCCUCGGAAAAUAAUAUUUUUUUUGUUUUUCGGAUUCUGUGAUUUUUUUUAAUCGACGCGUUAUUGUUUGUAACUACCAAACAAAUUUCUAUACAGGGUGACAAGAUACACGCUACCGUUCAUUGCACUGUGUAUUCUAAGUUCUAUGAAAUGUUGAAAGAGAACAACAUAUAUGUUGUUACAGUAUAUUAUAUU